rnacentral:rRNA from 1 species
AACGAACGCUGGUGGUAUGCUUAAUACAUGCAAGUCGAACGGGCAUAGCAAUAUGUCAGUGGCAAACGGGUGAGGAAUAUAUAGGAACCUCCCUAGCAGUAAGGAAUAACUUUGGGAAACCAAAGCUAAUGCCAUAUAUUACCCCUUAAGAAAUUAAGGGGGAAAGAUUUAUCGCUGUUAGAUGGGCCUGUAUCAGAUUAGAUAGUUGGUAGGGUAAUGGCCUACCAAGGCAAUGAUCUGUAGCUGGUCUGAGAGGAUGAUCAGCCACACUGGAACUGAGACACGGUCCAGACUCCUACGGGAGGCAGCAGUAGGGAUAUUGGACAAUGGGCGCAAGCCUGAUCCAGCCAUACCACGUGAGUGAUGAAGGUCUUCGGAUUGUAAAGCUCUUUUGGUAGGGAAGAUAAUGACGGUACCUACAGAAAAAGCACCGGCUAACUUCGUGCCAGCCGCCGCGGUAA